rnacentral:rRNA from 1 species
AACGAACGCUGGCGGCAGGCUUAACACAUGCAAGUCGAACGCGUGCAGCAAUGCACGAGUGGCGCACGGGUGAGUAACGAGUGGAUAUCUGCCUUUUGGUUCGGAAUAACCCCGGGAAACUGGGGCUAAUACCGGAUGGUUCCUACGGGAUAAAGAUUUAUCGCCAAAAGAUGAGUCCGCGUCCGAUUAGCUAGUUGGUGAGGUAAUGGCUCACCAAGGCGACGAUCGGUAGCUGGUCUGAGAGGACGAUCAGCCACACUGGGACUGAGACACGGCCCAGACUCCUACGGGAAGCAGCAGUGGGGAAUAUUGGACAAUGGGGGCAACCCUGAUCCAGCCAUGCCGCGUGAGUGAUGAAGGCCUUCGGGUUGUAAAGCUCUUUUGGCGGGGACGAUGAUGACGGUACCCGCAGAAUAAGCCCCGGCUAACUUCGUG